CAAUAGCGUAUAUUAAAGUUGUUGCAGUUAAAAAGCUCGUAGUUGAAUUUCUGGUGGGCGCGCCGGUCUUCCAAGUGUUGUACUGGGCGCAGUCCGCCAUCCUUGUGGAGAGGGCUCGCAUUGAGUUGCGUGUCGGAUCUGCAUCAUUUACUGUGAAAAAAUUAGAGUGUUUAAAGCAGGCUGUCGCUUGAAUACAUUAGCAUGGAAUAAUAAGAUAGGACUUCGGUCUAUUUUGUUGGUUGCGAACCGAGGUAAUGAUUAAUAGGGAUAGUUGGGGGUAUUCAUAUUUAAUUGUCAGAGGUGAAAUUCUUGGAUUUAUGAAAGAUGAACAACUGCGAAAGCAUUUACCAAGGAUGUUUNCAUUAG
rnacentral:rRNA from 1 species